rnacentral:rRNA from 1 species
UACGAAGGGGGCUAGCGUUGUUCGGAAUUACUGGGCGUAAAGCGCGCGUAGGCGGAUUUGUAAGUCAGGGGUGAAAUCCCGGGGCUCAACCUCGGAACUGCCUUUGAUACUGCAAGUCUCGAGUCCGAUAGAGGUGAGUGGAAUUCCUAGUGUAGAGGUGAAAUUCGUAGAUAUUAGGAAGAACACCAGUGGCGAAGGCGGACUCACUGGAUCGGUACUGACGCUGAGGUGCGAAAGCGUGGGGAGCAAACAGGG